rnacentral:rRNA from 1 species
UACGUAGGUGGCAAGCGUUGUCCGGAUUUACUGGGCGUAAAGAGCGCGCAGGCGGUCGAUUUAGUCGCGUGUGAAAGCCCCCGGCUCAACUGGGGAGGGUCACGCGAUACUGAUCGACUCGAAGGCAGGAGAGGGUAGUGGAAUUCCCGGUGUAGUGGUGAAAUGCGUAGAUAUCGGGAGGAACACCAGUGGCGAAGGCGGCAUCCUGGACCAAUAUUGACGCUGAGGCGCGAAAGCGUGGGGAGCGAACAGG